rnacentral:lncRNA from 1 species
UCAUUUGAAAUAGCUUGUAAAAGUAGAUUACAGCUUAUGAUAGCAAUUGGUCCAAUCUGGGAAAGAAAUCAGUUAAACAUGCCUAUUUGAAGAAGAAAUUGUCGGUACUAUAGUAUUCACGGUGGGGAUUGCAACUGCUUGAAUUGCAGGUAUAUAUAUCUUGGGCUAUUCGACAGUGAAGUAGAAGCUGCAAGGUCCUAGUGAUAUUGAAUUACCCUCUCUCUGAUAGUGAACUGUUACCUUAAAUUCUCAACUUCAAUCUGGUGUUAUCCAACCUGCAUUUCCCUUUUUGUUUUCUGUAAAUUAGGGCUUAUGAUAAGGCGGCAAUCAAAACUAAUGGUAGGGAGGCUGUUACCAACUUUGAGCCAAGUGCAUACGAAGGGGAAAUAAACUCUGAACCUCAGACAGAAGGUUUGCUCAAAUGCUCUUGCUCAUUUCCAAACUAAUGUCACUAAUUCCAAGCAACAGUGAAUUAUCUAUAUCCAACCUCUGAACCUCAGAAAGAAGGU